CGCCUUUCAAGGUAACUUGUCUGGUGACAGGGCAGAAGUCAGCAGAAGUCAUAGUAGCCAAAUGCCGGGAGUAAUGCCCCGGACAGGGUGAAGGAC
rnacentral:ncRNA from 1 species